rnacentral:rRNA from 1 species
GAUGAACGCUGGCGGCGUGCCUAAUACAUGCAAGUCGAGCGAACAGACGAGGAGCUUGCUCCUCUGACGUUAGCGGCGGACGGGUGAGUAACACGUGGAUAACCUACCUAUAAGACUGGGAUAACUUCGGGAAACCGGAGCUAAUACCGGAUAAUAUAUUGAACCGCCAGGUUCAAUAGUGAAAGACGGUUUUGCUGUAACUUAUAGAUGGAUCCGCGGCGCAUUAGCUAGUUGGUAAGGUAACGGCUUACCAAGGCAACGAUGCGUAGCCGACCUGGGAGGGUGAUCGGCCACACUGGAACUGAGACACGGUCCGGGCUCCUACGGGAGGCAGCGGUAGGGAAUCUUCCGCAAGGGGCGAAAGCCUGACGGAGCAACGCCGCGUGAGUGAUGAAGGUCUUCGGAUCGUAAAGCUCUGUUAUUAGGGAAGAACAAAUGUGUAAGUAACUAUGCACGUCUUGACGGUACCUAAUCAGAAAGCCACGGCUAACUACGUGCCAGCAGCCGCCGUAA